CUUGACAGUUCUUUAUGGAUAAAAUAAGCAAACAUUGUUCUCCCUGCUCCACUUCCAUUACAUUCAGUUUGUUCAGAGGCAAACCUGGUGCGGAUGUCGCGUUAGUGAAUGGAGGCUCUGUCCUUGUCGUUUAUUCCUGAUUCAGAGUGCUUGCCUCCCUGGGUCUCCCCGCAUCGCUUGUGCCGGCUCUCGCACUACUGGGGAGACAAAGUGUGUUCUGGGCAGCGUGAAGUGACGGCGAAAUGCCCUGGUGUGAUGCGUUCUCCUGCAUUAAUUAGUGCGAUGAAGACAAAGUGUGACGCUGGCAAUAGGGGCCGAGUUUUUGUUUCACGAAACAACCCCGGAUAGUCAGCAUCGACCGGCGCUCUGGGAGUCUGACCAGACGUGGUGGUAGCCGUAAGGAGGUGGCCAACGCCCGCUGCCAAGCCGCAAUGUCGAAAUCACCUGUUUGUGUUAUGUUCAGUACAAAGAGAUUACCUUCUCCUGAUUGCUGGGACGUGCAAUGGAGAGUGCUAGAGUUCUGGCAAAUGUUUGUUCACCUCACCAAGUCGUGUUUUGCACAAUAUGAGGAACAGGUAUUCUCCUGGUGCCACUUCCUACCACAGUCACCUUAUGAUGAUGAGUAUCGAUGGGAAUGCCACGACCCUUUGUUGUUUUAUUUGUCACAGCGCUUGGUAGGGGGUAGAGGGGUGAAGACGAAGGCAGUCACGAAAUUGAAGUUGACAUCGAGGCGGGGCUUCUCGACGUCCGCGAAUCCAGGUGAGCCCCUCUGAGCCAAUUUUGUGGAGUAGAGAAAGACGCGGUCUGUCACCGCUCUUUCUAAACUGCUCAUCUGCUUUGCUGAUAUCCGCGUCGAAAGUCCCUGCUUCGAUGAGCCAGUGGACAUGUCACUCCCUCGGUCCUGUUUCCUGCAAGCCGCCGCCGCAAAUUGCACGAGGCUGUAAAUCCCAACAAGUAGGCUAUUUCGUCUGUGCUAUCUACGUCAGAGUUCAGCAUGGCACGGGAAUUUUUCUGUUGUGGGCCGUCGACGCCUCUCGUUUCUCUUUACUGUGCGAUGGAAGAAUUUUUUGUGAGAGCAAUACGUUGGUUGUGUCCAUAGCUACGUACAGCGUAUACUGCAACCAGCUACAGGAACUUCUCACCACCUAGACUGUGACCCGCUUUUUUCUAAGCCUCGAGGUAGGUUUCCGUACCCAUGAUACACUUGCACAAGAGUCAGUGUGUGCCUUUUACAAAAGGUAUCCCACCCACAUGGCAGCUGCGCAAACGACUCCACUGACAUAGUUCAGCGUCUCUGCUCCGGAAGUAUUUGAAUCCGUGGAUUCAUCGUCUGUUGACGAGCCAGUUGCUGUUGUUGUGGUUGUAGUUACACUUUUGAUUUUGAUUGUGCACCCGGCGCCUGUCUUAACAUCCGCUUUCUUGCAUUUGUAGCAAAACGUUUCCUCCGCCGUCGGUUGCUCCUUCAAUCGGAACGAGUAACCAUUGGUUUGAUCUCCCUUUCGCUCAAUGUCCCUUUGAGUUGGUUGUUCUCCGCAUUCUUCUCCAACGUAUACCUGUGUUGCAGUAGAGGGAUCAAGAGUGAAACCAGAGGGACAGGUGAAGAAAACAGGGUUCUCGCCCUCCACUGUGAGAAUGAGGUCCUGUGAUGCUCCUGCUUUCAACACUUGUCCCGUUCCCGGAGCCGUGCAACUUUUUGGCAUGCUCGCCACGUUGAUUACCGCUGUGCAGGUGACUUUACUGCCGUUCUUGCACUGGUAACAUAUUUGUUUUGCUUCGGUGGGGAGCUGCGUGACUUUCAGCUGCGAGGCGUCCCAGGUUGCUGCAGAGCCACUUCCUAGCAAUUCAGUCAAACUUUUUUGUUCUCCACAGGUGCCACUCAUAUACUGAAGGGCAUCAUUGGAUGCACUUGGAGUGAAUGUUGACUCACGGGGGCACUCUAAUUCAACACCCAGGUUACCGGGAGUCAACGAAACCUCGAUCCUGUCACUGGCGCACGUGUGGGUGGUCACCUCAACAGCCGUAGACUGUGCAGUGCGGUUGACAAACUGAAUGAGCCCAGCAAGUAACAGAGCGCGGCCAACAGGGCGAAACACGCCGCCCGUGUGGACAAGUUCGCUUGCCAUUUGAAUACACAACUCAACAAUGUCUUGAAUCGUGACUGUUCACCUGUGGCAAGACGGCUCACAAUAUCCGGGUGCCACUAUGCAGACGUAUUUAAGUGGACAGGCCUUUGCUGUCUCUAAAUGUGAAUACCAAAACAAACAAAAAGUAACCGUGACAGCAACCCUCUGCUUAGAUCCAGAAGGGAUUGCAUGUCUUAGCUGCGCGAGCGGUCAGCGGACGACCAGAGAGUCUGCAUGUAUACGGCCCUACGUGCGUAACACCGUUCUUGUGACUGUGAUGCGUGGCUGACGCACUGGAUCUCGAGCCCCUCUAUCGCCCAACAGUCGCUCUUGUCUGGCAGAAUCGUUCACUGUCACGCCCGAAUGUUCGGAUCGGUUCUCCUGCGACAUGGGAAUGAGUCAAAAGAGACAGAAACCUGUAAUCAAGCAGAAUCGGACGAGC
rnacentral:lncRNA from 1 species